rnacentral:rRNA from 1 species
UACGUAGGGUGCAAGCGUUAUCCGGAAUUAUUGGGCGUAAAGAGCUCGUAGGCGGUUUGUCGCGUCUGCCGUGAAAGUCCGGGGCUCAACUCCGGAUCUGCGGUGGGUACGGGCAGACUAGAGUGCAGUAGGGGAGACUGGAAUUCCUGGUGUAGCGGUGAAAUGCGCAGAUAUCAGGAGGAACACCAAUGGCGAAGGCAGAUCUCUGGGCCGUAACUGACGCUGAGGAGCGAAAGCAUGGGGAGCGAACAGG